rnacentral:rRNA from 1 species
UACGAAGGGGGCUAGCGUUGCUCGGAAUCACUGGGCGUAAAAGCGCACGUAGGCGGAUUGCUAAGUCAGGGGUGAAAUCCUGGAGCUCAACUCCAGAACUGCCUUUGAUACUGGUGAUCUGAGUCCGGGAGAGGUGAGUGGAACUGCGAGUGUAGAGGUGAAAUUCGUAGAUAUUCGGCGGAACACCAGUGGCGAAGGCGAACUCGCUGGCCCGAUACUGACGCCUGAGGCGCGAAAGCGUGGGGAGCAACAGGG